rnacentral:tRNA from 1 species
GCCUGGCUGGCUCAGUCAGAAGAGCAUCAGACUCUUGAUCUCAGGGUUUUGAGUUCAAGCCCCAUGCAGGGUG